AAACUCAGAUGUUGAGCGUGAAGGAUAACGUUGCGUCAGCAACGGCCCGUAGGGCGAGGCGAAGCCGAGUCAUCCUGCACGACCCACCA
rnacentral:sRNA from 1 species